AGUGCAAGUGUUCGAAAGCACAAAGGCAGACUGUCUACCCGCGACAGUUCGCAAGUUGCGGUGGCGGGGCGGCUGUGCGGAGCGCGCGUGCAGGGCUUCAGAAGCUGAUGGCAUAGUUAUGAGAGGGGUGAAGACUGCGACUGCAUUUCCAACAGACCCUGAGGACAAUUGGGAAGAAUGCGCUGAAUAUUUUUGAGCAAUUUCUAUAUGAUAAGCAGUUUUUAGGGCAAGUAUAGGUUGCACUGAUCCUGACCUUUUGGCCUGAGGAUGGAAGUCUUCAGUAUCUGUACAACUUUACUCCCAAGAGCUGGUGUAGAAUGAGUUCCUCUGGCCAUGGGAGGAUCGCAGAGGGGCACCUGCCACCAGCAGCCCAGCCUCAGCACUUUUCUCUUCAGCGUCUUCUUCAAGGUAUUUCCAGUUGCCCGCCCUGAACUGUUUCAGAAUGAGGAGGACACCUGGAGGAAUCUACACG
rnacentral:lncRNA from 1 species